rnacentral:rRNA from 1 species
UACGUAGGGGGGCAAGCGUUGUCCGGAUUUAUUGGGCGUAAAGAGCGUGUAGGCGGCCGUACAGGUCAGCUGUGAAAACUCGAGGCUCAACCUCGAGACGCCGGUGGAAACCAUCAGGCUAGAGUCCGGAAGAGGAGAGUGGAAUUCCUGGUGUAGCGGUGAAAUGCGCAGAUAUCAGGAAGAACACCCGUGGCUAAGGCGGCUCUCUAGUACGGUACUGACGCUGAGACGCGAAAAGCGUGGGGAGCGAACAGG